GGCAACCCCCUACUUUGCCUCUCUGGAAUGCUCUGAAAGAAAGAUAACUCUAACUUCUGGUCAUUGCCACGUGUGAACUUUGGAGAAGUAAACAUGUCCCAAGAAGACGAGAAAUAUAUGGACGAGUUUGACAAAUACAACAUUGAACAGGACAAGUAUGUCCACGGCAAAAGCGGGAAAGGGCGCACCAAGCAUGAGGCGGAGCAGAACAAGCACCCGGGAGAACACACGCGCAAAAUCGCCGAACAUCUUAUAAACAGCGCACAUAAAUCGGAAAAGGAACCUACAGGCCCUGUACAUACCAAAAAAUAGCAUGUCAUGAAUUAUUACAGAUGAAUAAAACGGACUGAACCAUGGAAUAAAAGAGAGAAUAAAGAAUCAACGGAAAAAGAAAUGACUUUUGAUUGUAACUAGCAGCAAAGCUGUU